UACGAAGGGGGCAAGCGUUGUUCGGAUUUACUGGGCGUAAAGGGCGCGUAGGCGGCGCAACAAGUCACUUGUGAAAUCUCCGGGCUUAACCCGGAGCGGCCAAGUGAUACUGUCGUGCUAGAGUGCGGAAGGGGCUACUGGAAUUCUCGGUGUAGCGGUGAAAUUGCGUAGAGUAUCGAGAGGAACACCUGCGGCGAAGGCGGGUAGCUGGGCCGACACUGACGCCUGGAGGCGCGAAAGCCCAGGGGAGCGAACGGG
rnacentral:rRNA from 1 species